rnacentral:rRNA from 1 species
UACGGAAGGCAGCAGUGGGGAAUAUUGCACAAUGGGCGCAAGCCUGAUGCAGCCAUGCCGCGUGUAUGAAGAAGGCCUUCGGGUUGUAAAGUACUUUCAGUCGUGAGGAAGGUGUUAAGGUUAAUAACCUUAGCAAUUGACGUUAGCGACAGAAGAAGCACCGGCUAACUCCGUGCCAGCAGCCGCGGUAAUACGGAGGGUGCGAGCGUUAAUCGGAAUUACUGGGCUAAAGGGCACGCAGGCGGUUAAUUAAGUUGGAUGUGAAAUCCCCGGGCUUAACCUGGGAAUGGCAUUCAAGACUGGUUAGCUAGAGUCUUGUAGAGGGGGUAGAAUUCCAUGUGUAGCGGUGAAAUGCGUAGAGAUGUGGAGGAAUACCGGUGGCGAAGGCGGCCCCUGGGACAAGACUGACGCUCAUGUGCGAAAGCGUGGGGAGCAAACAGGAUUAGAUACC